GGUAAUCCUUCAGAGAGAGAAGAGCCUGUGCAAAAUCUUGGAGCACAAGGCACCUUUAUGGUAUGUGGUUCAGCUCCAAAGACCUAAAUAAAGAUACAUGUAGGUGAGGAUAUAUGAUGGGAGAGGUACCAGCCAGACUGUGGAGUCUAGCCUUCAGAUGGUAGGCCAGGGAGGGGUAGAGGGGGUGUAGGUUCAUACCCUGGAUCUUCUCUACCAGAAGGGGAAGGGUAAUCUCAGGCUACAGUAGAGUUGUUUGCUCCCACAAAGCUGAUUUUCCCCCAGUCUUCUUGAAUGCAUAGAACCUUGUGGCAUCACUAUGACCACUGCUAUGGUCUGAAUAUUUAUAUCCCCCUCCCCAACACCAAAACAAAUUUUGUUGAAAACUAAUGCCCAAAGUGAAGACUUUAGUAGAUUGGGCCUUUGAAAAGUGAUUAGGUCAUAAAGGCAGAGCCUUAACAAAUGGGGUCAGCGUCCUCAUAAAGAGGCCCCAGAGAGCAUCUUUGCCCCUUCUGCAGCAUGAGAGGAUACAAGAAGUUGGCAGUCUGCAGCCUGGAUUGGAAAAGGGCCCUCACCCAACCAUGCUGGCACCUUGAUUUGAGUCUUCCAGCAUCCAGACUGUAUGCCUUGCAGAUCUUCUACACCCAUCAAGCUGCUGCUUACUGUAGUUGCUUCUGCUGUUCGACAUCCUCUCAUCUUUGAAGUCUGCAAGUACACUGCAGAUAGACCACAUCUUGUUAUGCACUGAAAGCUCCUGGGCAAUGUGGUCAACCAAAUCAAGCAUGUCUAGGAUCAGAUUUGGGUGAAAACAGGAAGGAAGGGAGAGCUGGACACCUAACUCUGGGAGGUCAGAGCCAAGAACUCUGCAGUGAUUAAUUCAACAGUAUGCGUGAGCACUGCAGCACUACUGCCUAACACUUGCUUCAAAGGACAGCAUGUCCUAACCAAUCAAUGUGAAACUGUCCCACACAGCCACUGCUUCCAUUUAAGAGCAAAGAACACCUGGACUAUUAUUAUGCCUUACUACGGGGAAAAAUAAACCCUCUUCUGGUACAAGAUCAAAACAAGACCAA